UGACAGCUGAUCCAGCUCGUCCACCGGACUGAGAUACUUGCGCGGCUCAGGCGGGCUACGGGUGGCACCCACCGGCAGGUGGGUGGGUGCAUAGACGAAGACCGCAUCGUCCGGCAACAGCAUGACAUCGGGUGCCGGGUUCGUGAUAAUACAGCGUUUCAUGUUCUGCGGUGGUGCCGCGUCCGGCCAAAUACGCCGUGAGAGACCCAGGCAAAUCAGGCCUUGCGUGAAGCCAUUCCAAACGAAGUCUUUGUAGGAUGAAUUCUGAAAUUAAUAAUCUCAUCAGGUUAUACUUUAUCCGAAGAAGCCAGUAAUUUAGCCACUGAAUGUGACGAUUUUGUGCGAACCUGGUUUAUUCGGAUAUACGUAUAAACGACGGCGGCACGACGGGUGUGGAAAACUGGGCACGGCUGUCUUUGUCUGGACUGCCGCUUUCUGGUUGCAGUUGCGAAGAACCAAAUACAAGAGCGUGAAUGACCGAAAUGGAUAAGGGACUGAAAAAGGUCUAGAAAUGCAGCGCAUUUAAAUAUCCAGGGAAUCCAAUACAGUAUCCAUAAACACUGCACCGGAAACGAACGGCUCCGAUAAAAAGAAUGCGUUGACCGGCAGACUGUCAUCCCGUUCACAUUCCAGAAAUUUAACAUUGUCAUCGUGUUCUAUAAAAUUAUAAAUCAUGUUUCUGUACGUUAGCACUGGAUUUGCUGUUUUUGGGAACAGGAGUGAUUUAACAUUCGUGUUACCUAAACUGGAGACAAUCUUGAUGGAGCGACUGGCAACCGGUACCGCAUGUUGAUCCACAUCCGGAAAAUUUUCUUCAAAAUCCAUAGCCUGCAAAUUUAACGUGGCCAGAAUGACCUCCUGGUCGUCCACAAUUUCAUCCUUGCAGUGGCCGGUCUUGGACGAUAUCACCAGGCAGACUUCGCAGGAUUUUAUGGAAAUCGCUUCCAGUUGCAGUUGCAGUUCAAGUUGCAGAAUUGUAGCGGUCAAAAUAUUUAAAGAAGCCGAGAUAUCGAUACAUUCUGCUGUACUCCAAAUUGCCAAAAAUGAUGAUAUCCUUCAGUUUGUGUGCCGGUAUUCCGGCGGAUCGCAGAGGAAUCACGAACUGCGCUAAACCUAAUGAUCCAGCUCCAGGCUCGGCGAAGAUGCAUAACACGGUGUGAUCUUGAAAUCGACGUCCGGCGGCAUUUUUUAUAUCCUAGACGUUGCAAAACAUGUGAAUUGCAUGUAGUCUUAUUGGCCGAUACAUACGAAUCAUUUCUGGGAUGCGCUUUUAUUUCUUAAUUAUUUAUGAGGCAUAGUUUUAUUGCCGCCGGCCGGUCUACUGUAGUUUAUAAAGCAGAUGACAUACCAGCACGGCAUCCUCAAAUCGUCUGGCGGGAAUCCAGUGACUCUUGCCAACGUUGUCGUACAACAUCGUCAGAGCGUCAGAUGUAAGUCCGGUGGAGCG